ACAGUCUUCUGCACAUUGGUU
rnacentral:miRNA from 1 species